rnacentral:rRNA from 1 species
GACGAACGCUGGCGGCGUGCUUAACACAUGCAAGUCGAACGGAAAGGCCCUGCUUUUGUGGGGUGCUCGAGUGGCGAACGGGUGAGUAACACGUGAGUAACCUGCCCUUGACUUUGGGAUAACUUCAGGAAACUGGGGCUAAUACCGGAUAGGAGCUCCUGCUGCAUGGUGGGGGUUGGAAAGUUUCGGCGGUUGGGGAUGGACUCGCGGCUUAUCAGCUUGUUGGUGGGGUAGUGGCUUACCAAGGCUUUGACGGGUAGCCGGCCUGAGAGGGUGACCGGCCACAUUGGGCCUGCGAUACGGCCCAGACUCCUACGGUAGGCAGCAGUGGGGAAUAUUGCCCAAUGGGCGGAAGCCUGAUGCAGCAACGCCGCGUGCGGGAUGACGGCCUUCGGGUUGUAAACCGCUUUCGCCUGUGACGAAGCGUGAGUGACGGUAAUGGGUAAAGAAGCACCGGCUAACUACGUG